AUUGAACGCUGGCGGCAUGCUUUACACAUGCAAGUCGAACGGCAGCGCGGGGCAACCUGGCGGCGAGUGGCGAACGGGUGAGUAAUACAUCGGAACGUACCCAGAAGUGGGGGAUAACGUAGCGAAAGUUACGCUAAUACCGCAUACGUUCUACGGAAGAAAGUGGGGGACCUUCGGGCCUCAUGCUUUUGGAGCGGCCGAUGUCUGAUUAGCUAGUUGGUGAGGUAAAGGCUCACCAAGGCGACGAUCAGUAGCUGGUCUGAGAGGACGACCAGCCACACUGGGACUGAGACACGGCCCAGACUCCUACGGGAGGCAGCAGUGGGGAAUUUUGGACAAUGGGCGCAAGCCUGAUCCAGCAAUGCCGCGUGAGUGAAGAAGGCCUUCGGGUUGUAAAGCUCUUUUGUCGGGGAAGAAACGGCUGAGGAUAAUACCUUCGGCUAAUGACGGUACCUGAAGAAUAAGCACCGGCUAACUACGUG
rnacentral:rRNA from 1 species